rnacentral:lncRNA from 1 species
GACCAUAGUCACUGUCAAGGGAAGAUCGGCUGUCCCCACUGAGGGCACCUUGAUGGAUCAAGGUGAUCAGCUGACCAACAUGAGGGGACAGAUGGGAGCUAGGAGCUGUCUCGGUACUGAGUCAUUUUUCAUCUAACGUGCAAGAAGCCCAAAGAGCAAAUCAAACAGCAAAUUACACCUAAGCUAUCCAUGUUUCUCCUGCUUCUUCUAAGAUGAGAGGGUGACUUACACGUAGCUCAACACUUUCUUAUUGCAGUAUCGAGUGAUUGCAACCAAACAAUGAAAACAAUGGAAAAUGCAUCGUGCCUGUUGAAAGAGUCUGCAGUUGGCCUGGAACCGGGACCAUGCUGCAUUCGACAUACUUCCUGAUGGCUGACUUGUUCCCAUGGAAUUAAAUACUAGGCAUCCAGAAGCUGAACGUGGAUCUGAUACGCUCACUAAAAUCCAGGUUGGCCUCAGACUUCAUCAGUAAUAAUAAUAAUAAUAAUAAUUUUGGGUAACUUAUAGUGUAAAAG